CUUGAGAGUGUGCGCAAAGGAGAGGGACAUAAAAGUCAGAUGGGGCCACGAGGGAGAACUCUCCACAACACUCGAGUCUGUUCACACCUGUACCCACAGGGGUCCCAGUUCCUUCCCACCCAGAGGACAGGUGGGUGGCGACUGUGUUGAAGUAAAUCUGUCCCACAACGGCCACUAGGCUAUUAAAGUCGGUGUGCGCCCUUGGAGCCUAGGAAGGACAUGGCCACUUCUUGGUGUAUUACUUACCUUGAGGAGAAUGGCAAAUCUAGGGGCAUCUGGUGCCGACCUGUAGCAGAACCACAAGAGAGUGAGUGAGCCAGGUCAAGGUCAAGAUCAGAGAGCCAAUCCCCGGGUUUCCUAUUCAGUCACUUACCGCGAGGAUGACUGUAGGCUGGCAGCCUAAGCAUCAAUUUCUCGUUUGUGAAAUAGUAACAGUAGCCCUCGCGCCUUCUUACAGGACAGUGGAGAACCACAGCCAGGAGCACACAGCAGCUGGCACGGGGCACGUGGCCAUAGGUGCCAGCUCCUCGUGAGCUUAGUGACUGAUGUCCGUGACACGGGCUGGAAGGAUCUAGCAUCCUUUGGAGUGCCUCUGGCCCCAACAGCAAAAGAGAGGGACAUAAUGGCCCCUGGGGUCUGCUAGGAACAAGCCUGCUGGCUCUGUCCUCCUCGGUGCCCCUGGGACUGUCUGCUUUGCUACAUGUCGAGCCUUCACAUCACAAGAUGAAGGAGAGGUUCAAAUACUUUACAGCUAAUUUAACCAACAAACAUGGUUAAACCACAGAAUUCAAAUUGCAUCUCGUUUUGACCAAAUAUGCCCAAAACUACAAAAGUUCUGUUUGUGAACACCAGGGACAUGGUGCUGAGAAAUCUUAUUCUUUAAAAUCAUGGCCCUGGAGAAAGCUGGCUCUUUGGAGCCCUAUCAGGGACUUCAAGACAAAAAUGGGACAGCUUUACGCUGAGUAGUUUCAAAGAAUUCAGCUUUGGUCCAAGGGCCAAUCAGCAUUAUUCCCUGCGUCUAUUAGGACUAAUAAAAAGGCUUUCUCUUUUCUUUCAGAACUAAUGGAAACCCUCUGUUCUCACUCAGAAAUGCACGAAGUCCCGGUGCAAGAACACUUCAGGGAGACUGAGUCCCAGUGCCCCGUUCAGCAGGAACAGAUUCUGCCUUUUUCCCUCAGCGUGGACAGUCUCAUGAUCUGAACAGCAGAACCGGAGCGUCGGACCCUCCGUGAACAAAGCCCUGCUCUUCUGGACCUUCCCUUAGCUGACGAUGGCAUUGCCACCCAAGGAACCAGGUUCUCCUGGAGACCUUCGGCCACCACGCGGUCCUGUGUGCUCCUGCACCGCCCACGUGGCCACUGCUUAGAUAAAGUGAGCACUGCGGUGACAACAGGGAUGCACCCUAGGCCACCUGUACGUCCUGGUACCAGCUUGGCCUGCAAGGACACAGGUGAGGAUGCUCGUGCCCCCUCCCACUCCAUUUCAGGUUCACCUCCAGUCCUCGUGCCCCCUGGUGGGUGGGGACAGAUGCACGACUUCAGGUCCAGUGCUGACUGGGGCUCUGCCCUCCGGCCAUCCAAGUCAAACCCCUUGGCGUUUCUGAACUCCACUCAUCUGCCUUCCGGGGGCUCAGAAGCCCAGACCUGCCACCGCGACCUGCCCCACUCCACAGCCCCCUGCCCUCCCCAGCCCACCCUGUUCUGCCGGGCUCUGCCUCUCGCCUGCACCCCCCAGAUCCCUGUCCCCCAAAUCUUACCUAAGGCUUUCAUCCUGUUUUCCCUAACUUUUGGGAAUCACCUCUAUAAAGCCCUAUGUCUCUCCCAAGUACCAAAAUCAGCAGAAACACGUCUCAAACCGACCGCAUCUGUUACUCAUCAAGGAUGAGCUAAUUCUCCAUAUCCUCAUGAUUUUGGAGCAAAGCCAGUUCACUGCUUUCCAGAUUGCCAGUGGGGGUUCUGCGAGGUCCCCCGUGUGUCCCAGAGCAGACCUUGUCUCCUAGCAAUCUGAGCUGGUAAAUUAAUUCACAAGCUCCAGUCCCGGAGCCCACAAGGUAGAGAAAAGGGUUUUUCCCUCCUCCACUCGUGGCUUGAGCGUGCUGCACGCGUGUAUGUUCAACAAAUGAUGUUUGAAAAGAUAAAACCAUUUCGUUUAGAAAAU
rnacentral:lncRNA from 1 species